GGGCCCGUAGCUCAGUUCGGUUAGAGCGACCGGCUCAUAACCGGUCGGUCGCCAGUUCAAAUCUGGCCGGGCCCA
rnacentral:tRNA from 1 species